rnacentral:rRNA from 1 species
UUCAGCAGCCGCGGUAAUACGUAGGGGGCAAGCGUUGUCCGGAAUUAUUGGGCGUAAAGCGCGCGCAGGCGGCUUACUAAGUCUGGUGUGAAAGCCCACGGCUCAACCGUGGAGGGCCAUUGGAAACUGGUAAGCUUGAGUGCAGGAGAGGAGAGCGGAAUUCCUGGUGUAGCGGUGAAAUGCGUAGAUAUCAGGAGGAACACCCGUGGCGAAGGCGGCUCUCUGGCCUGUAACUGACGCUGAGGCGCGAAAGCGUGGGGAGCAAACAGGAUUAGAUACCCUGGUAGUCCACGCCGUAAACGAUGAGUGCUAAGUGUCGGGGGUGACCAACCCUCGGUGCUGUCGCUAACGCAAUAAGCACUCCGCCUGGGGAGUACGGCCGCAAGGC